rnacentral:rRNA from 1 species
GGUUAAGUGACUAAGCGUACACGGUGGAUGCCUUGG